rnacentral:tRNA from 1 species
AGAAACUUAGGUUACCAACA